GCCAGGCGUGGUGCCGUGUGCCUGUAAUCCCAGCUACUCGGGAGGCUGAGGCAGGAGAAUCACUUGAACCCAGGAGGCGGAGGUUGCAGUAAGCUGAGAUCACGCCACUGCACUCCAGCCUAGGUGACAGAGUGAGACCCUGCCUCAA
rfam:Pan troglodytes isolate Yerkes chimp pedigree #C0471 (Clint) chromosome 7, whole genome shotgun sequence.